rnacentral:rRNA from 1 species
AUGUUGUUUGUGUUUUUCAGGUCCUCUCUAGAUGUUCAGUUGCAAGCUCAUCUUCACUCUAAUUGUUUUUCACAGUACAGUACUCCUGGAGUACAUUGUUUUACACAUCAAAAUCUACCACAUCAUUCUACUGUAAUUCAGUCAAUGACUGCCUGGUUGUGCAUUACAGUACAGUACAAUACAUUUAUAUCAUUGUUUUUCAUGUCUGCUGAUGUUCAGGAAAUUCACGUGUUACUGGAACAACACCAUUUGAUAUUGGCCCUGGCAGGUCCUGCUCAGCAGCAAAGAUAUGGCAGCAGCAGUUCCUGCUCGGCAGCAAAGAGGAGGCAGCAGCGGUACUAG